rnacentral:rRNA from 1 species
CGGGGAUUAACUGAGGGGCAGCAGCCGCGGUAAUAUUUUAGUGGCCAGCGUUAUCGAGAAAUUAUUGGGCGUAAGGGGUUCGGGGGCCGUUUUUAUAUGUGUGAUGUGAAAGCCCCGGGCUCAACCGGGGAGGGUCAUUGGAAACUGGGGAACUUGAGUGCAGAAGAGGAGAGUGGAAUUCCACGAGUAGCGGUGAAAUGUGUAGAGAUGUGGAGGAACACCAGUGGAGACGGCGACUCUCUGGUCGGUAACUGACGUUGAGGAGCGAAAGCGUGGGGAGCGAACAGGAUUAGAUACCGUGGUAGUCCACGCCGUAAACGAUGAGUGCUAAGUGUUAGGGGGUUUCCGCCCCUUAGUGCUGCAGAUAACGCAUUAAGCACUCCGCCUGGGGAGUACGGUCGCAAGACUGAAACUCAAAGGAAUUGACGGGGGCCCGCACAAGCGGUGGAGCAUGUGGUUUAAUUCGAAGCAACGCGAAGAACCUUACCAGGUCUUGACAUCCUCUGACAAUCCUAGAGAUAGGACGUCCCCUUCGGGGGCAGAGUGACAGGUGGUGCAUGGUUGUUGUCAGCUCGUGUCGUGAGAUGUUGGGUUAAGUCCCGCAACGAGCGCAACCCUUGAUCUUAGUUGCCAGCAUUCAGUUGGGCACUCUAAGGUGACUGCCGGUGACAAACCGGAGGAAGGUGGGGAUGACGUCAAAUCAUCAUGCCCCUUAUGACCUGGGCUACACACGUGCUACAAUGGACAGAACAAAGGGCAGCGAAACCGCGAGGUUAAGCCAAUCCCACAAAUCUGUUCUCAGUUCGGAUCGCAGUCUGCAACUCGACUGCGUGAAGCAGGAAUCGCUAGUAAUCGCGGAUCAGCAUGCCGCGGUGAAUACGUUCCCGGGCCUUGUACACACCGCCCGUCACACCACGAGAGUUUGUAACACCCGAAGUCGGUGAGGUAACCUUUUAGGAGCCAGCCGCCGAAGGGGACA